rnacentral:lncRNA from 1 species
UGACUGUCAGGCCACCUUAAGCCACAGUACGGAAGAAGCUGUGCUGCCUGUGAGCCCCGUCCAAGGACGUUAAAAGAAGAAGUCAGGCCCCAAAGCCACGGUUUGAGCAAACCGUGCUGCCUGUAGCUCCGUCGUGGGGACGUAAAAACCUGGGAGGCUGCAAACUGUGGAAGCUGUACGCACAGUGUAGCAGACUAGUGGUUAGAGGAGACCCCUCCCAUGACACAACGCAGCAGCGGGGCCCGAGCACUGAGGGAAGCUGUACCUCCUUACAAAGGACUAGAGG